CCUGAGUCAGCCCAUACAGGAUUGGGUGGCUCUCGUUUCCUUCCUUGACGAAGCCUUUCAGUGUUUCCUUCGGAAGACGGCGAGCGGGUGAUAAGCAGUGGGUGGGGAGGAAGAGGGGGCUCCGAGAGCCCUUCCUGCCCCCUGAGUGGAGGCUGGUCGGAUAGGGUAGGCGGGGGCUCCUCUGUGCCCCACUUGGACACUUGAAGGGGGUGUAGAGGUUGCACGUUGCUGGCAUGCAGAAAAUCCAAGCUCCACCCGCAAAAUCAAGCGAGAUGGUUUGGAGCCUCCCAAACUGACACGAAGAAUGGGGCCCUUCCCUUCCAGUUUCGGGGAUGUUCAGGACCUGGGUUACAGCCCUGUUGCCCGGGAGAAGGGAGAAGAUGAAAGUGCCGUGCAUUGGCACACUGCCUGGCUCCCCUCCACCAUGGUCACCCUUCCCUGCCAUUCCCAACGGGUCUUGACCUUCAGACGGGAUUCGAAAUGGGCGACCCUUCAAACGGAGGACUGUGCCCUCUCUAAAUGUGUCUAUGCGGGCACUUUGCGAACACCGGGGCCAUUGGGCGGGUUGGGGGAGGCAAGACACGGGUGGCCUUUCAGUGGCCUGCUGGGCAGUCCUUUAGUUUUUGUUUCCUGCUUUUAUCUUUUUGCACUUGGUCUUUCAUGGCCUCCUUACGUGGAAUUGUGUGUUCGGUGCCCUAAAUUCCUGAUGACGGGAGGGGUACAUAUGAUUUAAAUAAAUAAAUAAAUGAAUCAAAGGCAAUGUCGGCUCCGAUUAGGACUGUUGCUGUGGCUACUAUUUGUUCUGCGUUGGAACAAGAUGGGACUCCUUUCAUGCUUGAAUAUAUUCUCUUUCUUUACAGAAUGGAUGCUGCUUUGGGAACAGUUCGAUGCAGUUCAAAGGCUCUUUCCUGACAGACUUUUUGCAGCCCAAAGCCACGUGGUCUCCUUCCCUUCCGCUUUAACGAAGACACCCCUUCAAGACCUACAAAAGGAACUAAGAAUGAGCCCAAAUCUUUAUCCUGUUUCUUGCUUUCAAAACCGUUGGACAACAUUGGCAAAUUUUCAGGCGUUUGAUUCCCAACUAUUUUAUUUGCAAAUGGGGAAGAUUUACCCCAUGGACUGCCAUCCCACCAACGGAAAUGUGCGCGUGCACACAGACAGACAGACACAUAGACACACACACACACACAACAGCUCUGCAACACACUCGUGAGCUAGAGGCUGCGCAGAGCGGCUGUCAAGUUGAAAGCUGCUCUCAUCAUUAAAUAUCAAAGUUGCUUAUUUGUUGCUUGCUUACAAUGUAUUGUUUUCCUCCCUGGUUCUCUCUUCCUGAAUUUUAAUGCAUUUUGAUCUUGGGAAUUUAAAUUAACUCUCCAUUAUUAUUUUUUAAAAGCCCCACACACAUCUGUUUUCUGAGCCAUCCACCUGUUCUCUUAGUAAUAUUUGAAGCCGCUUCUAUAUGGCUGAAAAGCAUUCCGUUGUAUUUACAGGUACUCGUUCCUCGACUCACUUUUGUUCUUCAUUCUUUCAUUUUCUUUCCCCAUCAAUCUAACAUUUUGGGUUUAUGUCAUCCCUCAGAAUUCUGCAUUUAUUUCUUAUUUUAGCACGGAGCUAUCUUUUCCCCCCUUUUAAAUAACCCCAGAAAAGCUGGUGUGUGUGUGUGUGUGUGCGCGCGCGCCAGCCACACAUUGCUAUUGGCACCAAUUUAAGACUUGUGAUGUUUGGAGGGGUUAUUGCUAUUGUUAGCACACAGUCAGGCGCAUACAGGGGAACCAACGUUCCACCUGGACGAUCUUUGAGACCUAGUUUAUCCAUCAAUACAAGACCCACUUCCUGGAAGAUUCUGGGCAGGCACCCCCUUUUUUUCUCUCCUCUACAGAAGUUUUGGCUCCUUUCUGAAAGCUUCUGAGCCUCGUGACAGAUGGCUCUUUGGGUUCCAGCUGUGUUCCUCCGGAAGGUCUCUCUUGUCUUGCAUGCAGAGGGCAACAUGUCUUCCAAGACACUUGAGUAAUGUCUCUGCUGCUCUCGGAGCAUCUUUCUCACGAUGGCCGGUGCAUAACAAUAUGAGUCACCUUGCAGGCUUCCAGCCUGUUUCAUUCCUUCUCCGAAUGACCGAGGUGCUCCCUGGGAGGAGGACAUUGGUUGUCCGCACAGAGUAGCGUUAGGCUUCCUUCUCCACUAGUGUGGCUCACCUUGAGGUUCUUCUCCCUGCC
ensembl:lncRNA